rnacentral:lncRNA from 1 species
GAUAAAGAACAUAGAAUUUAUAUAAUAUUUUUAAAAAUGCAUAUAGUAAUUUAGAUUGUUUUAUACUAAUUAUUAGUAGAGUCAAUUCAUUACCUGUUGUUAAGUUGAUUUUAGGUCAAACUUGUAUUUGUACUGAGUUGUUUUGGUUUAUUGCUGACAUUUAAUACUUGAUUACGCUAAAGCAAGAUUUUUUAAUUUCUCAUGUUUCAAUAGUUUGCAAUCAAGCAGCAGAUGCCUAAGCAUAUUAUGUUUUGUAGUGUUCAUAUUUGUUUGUAUGAAUUAGAAGAUAGAGUUGGGCAUUGGACCAUAUUCGGAUAGAUUUGAUCCGAUCUGAUUCGUAUAAAUUCGGAUCAGAUUCCGAUUUGGCUUCAAAUCUAAUUGGAUCGAACUGCACUGUUACUUAAAAAAUAAAAUAAAAUAUAAAAGCAUAAGCUAAAAAUGAAAACCUAAUUCCUAACCAUAAACCAGCCAUAGUCAUGGGCUAACACAGACAUAAAAACCAUAAACUUGAUACACGCCAUCAAUCACACAAACCAAAUGAACCCAGCUGCAUCUUGAUCGACGUCCAGCCACCAUGACUUCUCCAGAGUCCCGACCCAUGACGUCGAAGACAACCAAGAUAUAUACCAAAGGAUCCCAAUCGGCAGCCUAAUCUUGAUCGACAUUGACAUUUAGCUAGUUAGUUGCUUGUUGCACACUAUCGAGGUUUCGGACGAUACAGAUGGUGGAAAUCCCACAGAGAUAGAGCCCCUUGGGGAUUUUCCUGAUUUAAGGAGAGUAUGAGGAAGAUUUUAUAUCCAAUUUCUUAUACAGUGAAUAGAGAUGAAUUUUUACCCAAUAUCUUUUUUUGGA